UGGGGAAUUUUGGACAAUGGGGGAAACCCUGAUCCAGCAAUGCCGCGUGUGUGAAGAAGGCCUUCGGGUUGUAAAGCACUUUUGUCCGGGAAGAAAGCGUCUGUGCUAAUAACAUAGGCGGAUGACGGUACCGGAAGAAUAAGGACCGGCUAACUACGUGCCAGCAGCCGCGGUAAUACGUAGGGUCCAAGCGUUAAUCGGAAUUACUGGGCGUAAAGCGUGCGCAGGCGGUUGUGUAAGACAGAUGUGAAAUCCCCGGGCUUAACCUGGGAACUGCAUUUGUGACUGCACGGCUAGAGUGUGUCAGAGGGGGGUAGAAUUCCACGUGUAGCAGUGAAAUGCGUAGAUAUGUGGAGGAAUACCAAUGGCGAAGGCAGCCCCCUGGGACGAUACUGACGCUCAUGCACGAAAGCGUGGGGAGCAAACAGGAUUAGAUACCCGCGUAGUCC
rnacentral:rRNA from 1 species